GCCAGUGUGGUGUAGUGGUUUUAGUGUUGGACUAUGACUCUGGAGCUCAGGGUUCGAUUUCUUGCCCAGCCA